rnacentral:lncRNA from 1 species
AGAGGAUGGGUUUUUAAGAAAGGAAGACCGUCAUAGACGUAGGGAUUUAGGCGAGGACAAUGAGAGGGAAGAACGCAGGAAAUCAGAUAGAGGAAGGGAUAGGAGGCGUAAUGCUCGUGAUAGGAGACGCAAUGAUGAUGAUGAUGAUGAUGAUGAUGAUGAUGAAGAUGAUCGAAAGUAUAGGGAUAGGAGAGAGAUAAAGAAAGAUGAGGAUGGUGAUACAAAAUACAGGAGAGACAAGGAGAAGGAUAGAAGACGGGAAGAAAGUCGGAAUAAGGAUGAUAGUAAGGCAGUGGAUGAUUCGAAAGUUAAAA